rnacentral:tRNA from 1 species
GAGCCGUUAGCUCAGUCGGUAGAGCAUCUGCCUUUUAAGCAGAGGGUCGCCGGUUCGAAUCCGGCACGGCUCACCA